GGAAUUGUGAUGGAGACUUUGGGGGCAGUGCGCCGGCAGAUGUUUGCCCCAGAGUCUUUGCAGUUCCACCACCACCGCCGCCUUCAACACCACCUUCACCAACAUUCACAGGUUAGCAUGGCCUUGGUGCCCGAAGCCCGGGCUUUAAGGAAUGGAAUAUUUAUGGAGCACUCUUCUGUCUGAGAGGACAUGCUGUGUAUGUUGUAAUAUUGUCGUGCAACUGCAUGCGGCACGCUGCCGUGCAAGUGUAGAUUUGUUUUAAUCAUAAAAACAUCGUGUCUUAGCGUAAGAGCUAGGGUCGGGUCCUGUGUAACAUCCAAGGGCAUGAAUAAGGGAUGAUGGGGAUUUAAACUCAACCGGGUUUGUACGAACGGGGCCCAGUCGAUGAGCAAGUGGUUGUUUGACUAACCAACUAACCUCACUUCCUCGUCUGUACACCUUCCCUUUUCUUUCCAAACACAUUGGCUGCGUGCUUGGAAAGGUUGCACACCACCUGCCGGUUGGUGCGUGAGCGUGGAAAUGGAGGACGUCUUUAGGGUCCUCGAUUGCGAUGGCGAUGGACUGCUGGACCUCACCUGU
rnacentral:lncRNA from 1 species